rnacentral:sRNA from 1 species
UCCAUAUUUACCCUGAACGUAAAUUCAGGG